rnacentral:tRNA from 1 species
GCCCGCGUGGCGGAAUUGGCAGACGCAGCGGAUUCAAAAUCCGCCGGCCUUACGGCUAUGUCGAUCCGAGUCCGCCUGCCCGCAUCA